rnacentral:lncRNA from 1 species
CACUAGACCAUCUCGCCUACAGUUGCUUUAACUCUUUUUUAUUCUACUUAACUCUUUCUCGUCUCGGGUGGAAUUAAUUAACAACGACGCCUGACAUUAAAAUGCUCUUGGCACAACCACGACUUGAACCUGGGUUCACGCACUUGCAACACUUUGUCCUUACCACUAGACCAUCUCGCCUACACUUGCUUUAAUUCUUUUUUAUUCUACUUAACUCUUUCUCGUCUCGGGUGGAAUUAAUUAACAACGACGCCUGACAUUAAAAUGCUUUUUGACUACAGCAGGAUUCGAACCUAUAGCUUCACGCACUUGCAACACUUUGCCCGUACCACUAGACCAUCUCGCCUACACUUCUUUAACUUCUUUUUUAUUCUACUGAACUCUUUCUCGUCUCGGGUGGAAUUAAUUAACAACGACGCCCGGCAUUAAAAUGCUCUUGGCACAACCACGACUUGAACCUGGCUUCACGCACUUGCAACAAUUUGUCCUUACCACUAGACCAUCACGCCUACACUUGCUUUAACUUCUUUUUUAUUCUACUUAACUCUUUCUCGUCUCGGGUGGAAUUAAUUAACAACGACGCCCGGCAUUAAAAUG